GGGUAUACAGCUCAGUGGUAGAGCGCAUGCCUAGCGUGCAGGGGGAUCCUGGGUUCAACUCCCAGUACCUCCA
rnacentral:tRNA from 1 species